rnacentral:rRNA from 1 species
AGUGGCGCAGCUAACGCGCUAAGUAGACCGCCUGGGGAGUACGGCCGCAAGGUUAAAACUCAAAUGAAUUGACGGGGGCCCGCACAAGCGGUGGAGCAUGUGGUUUAAUUCGACGCAACGCGAAGAACCUUACCUGGCCUUGACAUGCAGAGAACUUUCCAGAGAUGGAUUGGUGCCUUCGGGAACUCUGACACAGGUGCUGCAUGGCCGUCGUCAGCUCGUGUCGUGAGAUGUUGGGUUAAGUCCCGUAACGAGCGCAACCCCUAUCCCUAGUUGCUAGCAGUUCGGCUGAGAACUCUAGGGAGACUGCCGGUGACAAACCGGAGGAAGGUGGGGAUGACGUCAGGUCAUCAUGGCCCUUACGGCCAGGGCUACACACGUGCUACAAUGGUGCGUACAGAGGGCUGCAAACCCGCGAGGGGGAGCUAAUCUCACAAAACGCAUCGUAGUCCGGAUCGGAGUCUGCAACUCGACUCCGUGAAGUCGGAAUCGCUAGUAAUCGCGAAUCAGAAUGUCGCGGUGAAUACGUUCCCGGGCCUUGUACACACCGCCCGUCACACCAUGGGAGUGGAUUGCACCAGAAGUGGUUAGUCUAACCUUCGGGAGGA